AUUGAACGCUGGCGGCAGGCCUAACACAUGCAAGUCGAGCGGGGUUUUCGGACCUAGCGGCGGACGGGUGAGUAAUGCGUAGGAAGCUGCCCGAUAGAGGGGGAUACCAGUUGGAAACGACUGUUAAUACCGCAUAAUGUCUACGGACCAAAGUGUGGGACCUUCGGGCCACAUGCUAUCGGAUGCGCCUACGUGGGAUUAGCUAGUUGGUGAGGUAAUGGCUCACCAAGGUGACGAUCUCUAGCUGGUUUGAGAGGAUGAUCAGCCACACUGGAACUGAGACACGGUCCAGACUCCUGCGGGAGGCAGCAGUGGGGAAUAUUGGACAAUGGGCGCAAGCCGGAUCCAGCCAUGCCGCGUGUGUGAAGAAGGCCUUCGGGUUGUAAAGUACUUUCAGCGAGGAGGAAGGGUGGUGUGUUAAUAGCACAUCAUUUUGACGUUACUCGCAGAAGAAGCACCGGCUAACUCUGUGCCAGCAGCCGCAGUAAAAC
rnacentral:rRNA from 1 species